CCAUUCCAUGCCUAGUACGGCGAGUGAGCGGCAACAGCUCAAAUUUGAAAGCUGGCUCCGGCCCGCAUUGUAAUUUGCAGAGGAUGCUUUUGGCGAGGUGCCUUCCGAGUUCCCUGGAACGGGACGCCAUAGAGGGUGAGAGCCCCGUAUGGAUGGACACCAAACCUGUGUAAAGCUCCUUCAACGAGUCGAGUAGUUUGGGAAUGCUGCUCUAAAUGGGAGGUAAAUCUCUUCUAAAGCUAAAUACCGGCCAGAGACCGAUAGCGCACAAGUAGAGUGAUCGAAAGAUGAAAAGCACCUUGAAAAGGGGGUUAAACAGUACGUGAAAUUGUUGAAAGGGAAGCGCUUGUGACCAGACUUGCGCCGGGCAGCUCAUCAGGGGUUCUCCCCUGUGCACUCUGCCCGGCUCAGGCCAGCAUCGGUUCUCGUGGGAGGAUAAGAACAGUGGGAACGUGGCCCCCUCUCGGGGGGGUGUUAUAGCCCAUUGUACGAUACUCUCGUGGGGACCGAGGUUCGCGCUCCGCAAGGAUGCUGGCGUAAUGGUCAUCAGCGACCCGUCUUG
rnacentral:rRNA from 1 species